rnacentral:rRNA from 1 species
CCUACGGGUGGCAGCAGUGGGGAAUAUUGGACAAUGGGGGCAACCCUGAUCCAGCCAUGCCGCGUGUGUGAAGAAGGCCCUCGGGUUGUAAAGCACUUUCAGUGAGGAAGAACGCCUGGUGGUUAAUACCCAUCAGGAAAGACAUCACUCACAGAAGAAGCACCGGCUAACUCCGUGCCAGCAGACGCGGUAAUACGGAGGGUGCGAGCGUUAAUCGGAAUUACUGGGCGUAAAGCGCGCGUAGGUGGCUUGAUAAGCCGGUUGUGAAAGCCCCGGGCUCAACCUGGGAACGGCAUCCGGAACUGUCAAGCUAGAGUGCAGGAGAGGAAGGUAGAAUUCCCGGUGUAGCGGUGAAAUGCGUAGAGAUCGGGAGGAAUACCAGUGGCGAAGGCGGCCUUCUGGACUGACACUGACACUGAGGUGCGAAAGCGUGGGUAGCAAACAGGAUUAGAUACCCCAGUAGUC